GGAAGGGAGAAAGAAGGAAAAAAAAAGAGAAAGACAGACAGACAGAAAGAAAAGGAAAGAGAGAGAGAGAAACCCUGAGGUUGGUACAUUCCUUUCAGGAAGAGGGACCCUGGGGUCAAAGGAGCCGGCGAGGGUCUUCCGGAAGCUUCCCCCUUGGCACAGCCGGAGUCCCAAGGGCAGAGGAGUCUUCUGCCUUGGGGGAAGGCAAGAGAAGACAACAUGCCGUUAUCGG